ACAAACAUCCUCUGAAAUUCCUUUGACCCAUACUUACAACAUCAAAGACUUGUGGUCCCUCGUCACUAUCCCGAGUCGUCUAGUAUUCUUGGGAGUGGUACAUUGUUGUCGAUAGUGGUCUCUCUUCAAGUUGGUGUACAGGUAACUGUGUAAUAAUUAAUAUUUGGGAGAAUUACUAUUUGUUUCUUCUUUUAUAAUGCAUAAAAGUGGACAUUGUUACCAUUGGGAGCAUUAUAGUUGUUUAUUGUUGAAAGUGUUGAGAGAAUCUUAUUUUUAAUAUAAACUCAGUAUAUUUGUCGGCAAUUUGUAUGAUAAUAUUGUUUAAAUAUUAUUGCUUGCAUAUGCUUUUUGAUGUUUUUAAGAUUAACUGAUUUAUUGCUUAUAAUACAUAUAGGGUUUUCUUUACAUAAUGGUUUAUGUUGAAUGGUAUACCCUUGUGGCAAAUUAUGAAGGGGAAGAGGGAAUCCUUAGGCAUGUAUCUGUUGAGAGGUAUUCGUAUAUAGCAAAACUUAGUGAUAUGUAUGAGCUUUUGGGGAUUAAAGUUAAUUUUGUUACUAUUAAAGUUGGAAAUGGGAUGACUAUAGAAAAUGAUAUUGAUUUGUUACUGAUAUUUGAGUUGUACAAAGAUAGACAUGUCAUACCCCUUACUAUCAUACCAUUAGCUAUUGCCAUUGUUGUUCAAACACCCUCAGAUGAAAAUAUUGAUAGGCAGGUGAAAAUAUUGAUAGGGGAAUUAGAGAAGAUACUGAUAUAGGGGAGUACACUCUAUGAGGAGAGGAAGAUGUUGAUUACUUCCUAUUAGAGGUGCAAAUAUUGGUGGGGGAUUAGGGGGAAUACUGAUAUAGGCAAUUCAAGUACAGAAGUUAAUACCCCUUAAUAGAUGUUGGUAUUUGUAGAGAUGAUAUUAAUACCUCAGUAUAUGCUGGUAUAAAUGAUAUUAAUAUACCUGUGGGUUAAUACACCUUUAAGUGAUGGGAUGGGCACUGGGGCAACUACUGGGAGAGAUUAUGUUCGGACUGAAAGAACUCUGGCUAGAGGGAGAAGGGUUGGUUCAUCCAUAUUCAUGGGAAGAAUGAGAGGUAGGAGGAUGAGAAGAGUCAUUGAGAUGAACCAAUGAUAUUCACUAAUAGUGAGUUUGAGUUUUCAUACUCAAAUGAUAAAGACUAGAUGGCACAACUAGUACAGGACUUAAAUGACAAUUCUAAAACUAAUAAUGAUGCAAAAGAUGAUGUUGAUAAUACUGAAGAGUUACAAGAUGAUCAAUAUUUGUAUGAUAUUAAUAAUGGUGAAGAUGAAUUAAGUGACCAUAAUAGUGACACUGAAGUAUAUGAAAACUUGCAUAGAACCUGGACUAAUCCAGAUCCCUUUAGAGGUGUAUAUUCUAACCCUUAUACACAGACUGAUGGAGAAGAAAUAACCUUUAGAGUAGGACAGGUUCUUGGAGAUAUUAGUAUUUUGAGGAAUGCUCUUAGAGAUUAUGCAAUUAAGAGUGGUUAUAAAAUUACAAGGCUAAAGAAUGAUAAUUUAAGGUUGAUUGCAAAUUGGGCUACUCAAGGUUGUCCCUAGAGGAUUCAUGCAUCUAGAUUAGCUAAUGAAAUCACAUUCAUGGUCAAAACCUUCCAAGAUGAACACACAUGCAUUAGACUUAUUGAAAAUAGGAAUUCCAACACAACCACAAAAUGGAUUGCAGAAAAACUUAUGGAUUCACUUAGAGCAGAUCUUGAAAUAGGCUAUGAAUUAAUGAAUCACAAUUUGAUGGCUAAGUGGAGGGUUGAUGCACUUAUUUGUCAAUUAUACAGAGCUAGGUGUUAUGUAAAGGAAAAGAACUUUGGAAUGAUAUGGAAAGUUUUAAAAAGUUGAAGUAUUUGCAUUACUUACAAAUGUUUAAUCCUAGAACAGUGGUCAAAAUUCAAGCAGAAACUAUACAAAGUGAUGAUGAUCCAACUGUUUUUAAAAGGAUAUUUGUGCUAUUUGAUGCUAUUAGAAAAUGUUUCUUAGAAGCUUGUAGGCCUUUAAUUAGAGUUGAUGGAUGUGAUGGAUGUGACUUGAAGAGUCCAUAUGGGGGCACUUUUUUAUCAGCAAUUGUAAUUGAUGGAAAUAGGAGAAUAUUGCUUUUGGCAUUUGCAAUUGUAGAGGCUGAAUGUCUAGACAAUUGAAAUUUCUUCAUGGAGAACCUUUAUGAUUGCAUUGGUGGAGCAGUGACAAACAACCCCUUAACCCCUUGUCUUCAUGUAUAAUAAGCAGAAGGUAAUAUAUGUGCUAAUUUUUAUUGCUUUAAUAUUUAUUUAGGGUAUUAUGGAAGCUAUCAAGUUGAUAAUGAUCAACAUUUAUUAUUUGCAGGUAAAUACAAGUUCCAGAGGCAAUGUGAGAGCUAACUCAACCACAUUGGCCCAACCAACUAAAAUUAACAUGGAUAUUGAAGGUAGUCAACCUCAAACCCGUCAAGUGGAUCUUAGUCAAGAUGGUUCUAAUCAAGCUGUUCCUACUUAGUUCUAGAAUUUUCGCAACAACUUGAAGACAUUAUUUUGGACUAUUUUCUAUGUCCUGUUU
rnacentral:lncRNA from 1 species